rnacentral:rRNA from 1 species
UCUUUGGAGAGUUUGAUCCUGGCUCAGGACGAACGCUGGCGGCGUGCCUAAUACAUGCAAGUCGAGCGAACC